CGGCGGACGGGUGAGUAACGCGUGGGUAACCUGCCUCAUACAGGGGGAUAACAGUUGGAAACGGCUGCUAAUACCGCAUAAGCGCACAGUACCGCAUGGUACGGUGUGAAAAACUCCGGUGGUAUGAGAUGGACCCGCGUCUAAUUAGGUAGUUGGUGGGGUAACGGCCUACCAAGCCGACGAUCAGUAGCCGACCUGAGAGGGUGACCGGCCACAUUGGGACUGAGACACGGCCCAA
rnacentral:rRNA from 1 species